AGUUGCCAUCAUUCAGUUGGGCACUCUAAAGAGACUGCCGGUGUCAAACCGGAGGAAGUGGGGAUGACGUCAAGUCCUCAUGGCCUUUAUGACCAGGGCUACACACGUACUACAAUGGCCGGUACAAAGGGCAGCCACUUAGCGAUAAGGAGCCAAUCCCGUAAAGCCGGUCUCAGUCCGGAUUGGAGUCUGCAACUCGACUCCAUGAAGUUGGAAUCGCUAGUAAUCGCAGAUCAGCACGCUGCGGUCGAAUACGUUCCGGGCCUU
rnacentral:rRNA from 1 species